rnacentral:misc_RNA from 1 species
GAAAAUGUUACUGUUGGCAAGCUUACAUCUAAUCAACAAGCCUUGACCACAACUCUCUUCCACUUCCAGAUUCACUUGGAUCAUGUUAAUGUAUUUAUGUACAACAUCGAAUGCUGAAUUGUAUUCAUUGGCUGGUUUUAGAAACCAUGAUAACAAAUAGAUGCCCAGAUAGGUAUCUAAGCAGCCGUAUCAAUUGGGUAGCAGCCAAGAACACGAAGAAAUCUUGCAAUUUCCUGCAAAAUCAAAAGAAAAAAAAAUAAAAAAUCCUACACAUUUCUCAUUCACAAACAGUUCUUGUGGUUCUGUUCCUUAGUGUGAGAAGGAAAAUUAGUGCUUUAAACUUGUGGCAGCUAAGAUUUGUUACAGUGUUCCAAACAAAUAGUAUACAAGACCAGCAGAAAGUGUAUAACUUAAUAGGGACAACAGAGUUUACUAGGACGUCCACAAACACAUAAUAUGCAGACAGAAAGAAAAAACAGCAAGACACAGGUAACUUCCAGCUAUAAUUAUUACUGUCCGAAUUCCAGAUCAAGAACAUAAUGCAAUUCAAUUCACAUUUGCAUGUCUCAUAUUAAGAUCAAGAGAUAGGUUCCGUCCACGCUUCCCCAACAAGGAAACAAAACAGCCAAUUUGACUGUUAUAGAAAUGACUAGAUUGCAAUUAGGAUACAAACAAUAACUGGAGAAGUAAAUGCUGCUCUUAUGCAAUAACUUAACUAAACCAGGACUUAUUUAUAAAAGCUGACACUUAUUUCUUGUCACAAAUAAUCAAAAUAAAAACCAUCAGAAUGCUUGCACAGAAAUUAGCAGUCUGUGAAUUGGGAGAAGACAAUAAACCUCAUGGAAAAUAUCAGACUGUAAAUACAAAAAAUCAGAAUUAUAUAUUGUAAAUAUUAGCAAGAAAAAGUAGCUUUAUGAGUUUUCUUUGUUAAAAUAUAGCAGGGAUGUGUUUUCUUUAAUAAAUAAAAGAUUAGAAAGACUAACCUGCAAAUGUCCUAAAGCAUGUUGAGCACGAGGUUCUGCCAUAGAAGCUUCAAAGUCGAUGUAGAAAAGGUAGUCAAAGUACCUGAAAAUAUGAAAGUCAAUCAAAUAAGAAAGACCAUAUCAACUCUCACUGCACAUAAAAGAUUCAAUACUUGUAAAUUCAAAAUAAGAACUAUCUUAGGCACUAUUUUGGAGGUGAUGAAUCUGUAGUAAUAUGAAUAUGAAUUGUGAAUGAAAAUUUAUAAGUGAAACCAUGCACCAAUAAAGGGACACAUUUAAAUCUCUGUUUAGGUGACAAAAAAAAUGUGAGGCAGAGUAACACCAAUAAAACACUACGUUGUAUGUAGAAUACAUAUUCAACUACUUUUACCAAGUUUCCAAAGUAUAUUGGUAGAAAACCUAGAAGUCAUUAAAUUUGAACUAAUUCUAACAAUCAAAUGAAACAUGAGUGAUAGAGCACUUAAUAGGGUUAUCAUGUGAGAUCCUAUGUAUAGUUACCUAGUAGUACAUUUCAGGUUGUGGUACUGAUGCAUGUUUGGAGACAUGGUAUGCUUACUUAAUUAGGUGUAUGAUACAUAAGGGGUAACUUGUUGGAAUCACGUUAAUUUAGGGAUAUACUUUUUAGAAAAUUAUUUUUAGGAGCUAAUUUAAAAAUCAAUUAUAUUUAUUAGCUUCAUAUUAUAGAAUUAUUUCUUGUAUAUAAAUUGUCAUAUGUAUUCUAUCACUAUUAUUGAGAGAAAUACAUAAAAUAUUCUCCAAAUUACUGUCCAACAUAGUAUCAGAGCCUUUAAUUCAUUGGGGCAGCUUUAGUACUGUUCAUCGGUACUGUUCAUAGCCACUGUUCAUAGAUACCGUUCACAGCAUGCGGACCUUUUCUCUAGCUUUUUUUCAAUUGUUCCUUGUGUGUUGCGCCUUUACCCAGACCCUGCUUUCAAUCUAGUUUGCCUUUUUUUUUGUUUUUCGGUACCCAUUCUUUCAAGUAUUGUUUCAAUAUUUUUUCUUUUCCUCUUGAUUUAAGAUGGCUGAUGGGAAAAAGCUUGCUUCUGAAACAAAAAUGAGUUUUAUUAAUGACAACCCUACUAUACAAAUAAGUCCUGUAAAGCUUGAUGGAACAAAUUACUUGGUAUGGUCUAGAUCUUG